rnacentral:rRNA from 1 species
UACAGAGGUCUCAAGCGUUGUUCGGAUUCAUUGGGCGUAAAGGGUGCGUAGGCGGCGGGGCAAGUCAGGUGUGAAAUCCCGGGGCUCAACCCUGGAACUGCACUUGAUACUGCUUUGCUAGAGUACUGGAGAGGAGAUUGGAAUUUACGGUGUAGCAGUGAAAUGCGUAGAUAUCGUAAGGAAGACCAGUGGCGAAGGCGAAUCUCUGGACAGUUACUGACGCUGAGGCUCGAAGGCCAGGGGAGCAAACGGG